GCAAAAGAAACAGUCAACAAAACUAAAAGACAACCUGGAGACAGGGCCUUUAAAGAGCAACACCCAAAGGCAAUGAUCUUGGACUGUGGUCCAAUGGAAAUGAAGCAGAAUUUCAAGACAACCCUUUUCAGCCUUGGCAAUUGGAAAAAGAAAUGACCUGUAUAUUGAUGACCUUUCAUAGAUAAUUAUAAGGAAAAUGAUUAUAAUUACAGUGGAAACAAAAUGAAAACGUAGAAACCUAUGGGAGUGCUUGAGAGUUUAAAGCCAAUCGCUGCUGUUCCUAAAGAUGCUUUGAUUUUAGGCAUUGUACUGGGGAUACCUCGACCUCUUCACCGACCAUCUGCAUGUAUCAGGAAGAUGUGACGAUGCCUCCAUGUUCCAGAGACUGAUCUGCAGAACUGUCAGGUGUGCAGCUGAAGGAAAAGAUCACGCAUUUUAGAUGACACACAUGAAAGCAUAGCCAACCUGAGGUCAUCCACUUUGGAGACACUAACCGACUGCUUUGUUGAAAAUGUGCUAUAAAGCUACUGCCUGUCCGUAACUUCAAGCAUAUUUGGAAUCUGUGAGGUUGAAAGUGCAAGUCCCCCCUUUGCUUUGAUUAGCCCUGUCUUCCAAAGAUUCUCCAUCCUACCUCUCCACACUAAUUGAAUCACAUAGCAACUCCAAAACAUAUUAACUUCAAAUUCUGAGAACUGACAAAUCCUCUUACUUGAAACAGAUGAAUAAGCAGGCUGUUUGUCUUGGGACUUCUGCACAGCCAGCUGAAUGGAAUGUGGGGCCAAGAAAAUGGAGAAGCUGAAUCACCAAACAUUGUGUCACUCGUCCAAGAUCACACAGGAAGGAAUUUUCUGUGCAAUAUUUAUUGUGUCAUCUCUAAGGAUACCAUCAUGAAAAUCACAAGUAACUUCUGACAAGGGAUUAAAUAAAGUUACAUGGAGAAAAUAAAAUAAAGCUGCUUAUUUUAGGACACUGGUCAAAUGGAAAGUUUAAGAUUACUUCAGAGAAUAUUGAAACAUAAAUUCAUGGAAAUCUCAAUCCUUCAUCGGCAAAAGCAAUCUGAUUCAAGUGAAUGUCUAGUUGUAGCUGGCCCAAGGACCGAGCAGCUGACAUGAAUGCCUGAGGUCAGUGGGCAGGAGUGCAUAUGAGGACAUUGCCUUAAAUGGUGGAGAGAAGCAGGACCCCUAUCUUCACAUUCAUGUCAAGAAGGACAGCCAUUGCCUAGCUCCAGGUGACUUCUUCCAAGAUGGAAUGCACAACAUUUCCCAGUUUUUGGAGAGAAGCUCCUUUCCCCCUCUCCAAUUUGAGUUUUCAUGUGAAAUACCUUAAUUUUAAGUUAUGGCUCAAUUUUUAGAAGACCCUUUGCAGUUAGUCUACACAAACCAUAUCCAAAGAGCAGAUUUCACGCACAGGCAGCCAGUUUGCAAACUCGGUUCCACUCAGACCAUACACAGACAACACAGCAAGCUUUGGGCCUGAUUUUACAUUUUGUAUU